rnacentral:rRNA from 1 species
GGGUUGUGAGGUUAAGCGACUAAGCGUACACGGUGGAUGCCCUGGCAGUCAGAGGCGAUGAAGGACGUGCUAAUCUGCGAAAAGCGUCGGUAAGGUGAUAUGAACCGUUACAGCCGGCGAUGUCCGAAUGGGGAAACCCAGUGCAAUUCGUUGCACUAUCGUUAACUGAAUACAUAGGUUAACGAGGCGAACCGGGGGAACUGAAACAUCUAAGUACCCCGAGGAAAAGAAAUCAACCGAGAUUCCCCCAGUAGCGGCGAGCGAACGGGGAGCAGCCCGGAGUCUGAAUCAGCUUGUGUGUUAGUGGAAGCGUCUGGAAAGUCGCAGGGUACAGGGUGAUACUCCCGUACACUAAAACACACAGGUUGUGAACUCGAAGAGUAGGGCGGGACACGUGGUAUCCUGUCUGAAUAUGGGGGGACCAUCCUCCAAGGCUAAAUACUCCUGACUGACCGAUAGUGAACCAGUACCGUGAGGGAAAGGCGAAAAGAACCCCGGCGAGGGGAGUGAAAAAGAACCUGAAACCGUGUACGUACAAGCAGUAGGAGCCCACUUGUUGGGUGACUGCGUACCUUUUGUAUAAUGGGUCAGCGACUUAUAUUCUGUAGCAAGGUUAACCGUAUAGGGGAGCCGCAGGGAAACCGAGUCUUAACUGGGCGUUAAGUUGCAGGGUAUAGACCCGAAACCCGGUGAUCUAGCCAUGGGCAGGUUGAAGGUUGGGUAACACUAACUGGAGGACCGAACCGACUAAUGUUGAAAAAUUAGCGGAUGACUUGUGGCUGGGGGUGAAAGGCCAAUCAAACCGGGAGAUAGCUGGUUCUCCCCGAAAGCUAUUUAGGUAGCGCCUCGUGAACUCAUCUUCGGGGGUAGAGCACUGUUUCGGCUAGGGGGUCAUCCCGACUUACCAACCCGAUGCAAACUACGAAUACCGAAGAAUGUUAUCACGGGAGACACACGGCGGGUGCUAACGUCCGUCGUGAAGAGGGAAACAACCCAGACCGCCAGCUAAGGUCCCAAAGUCAUGGUUAAGUGGGAAACGAUGUGGGAAGGCCCAGACAGCCAGGAUGUUGGCUUAGAAGCAGCCAUCAUUUAAAGAAAGCGUAAUAGCUCACUGGUCGAGUCGGCCUGCGCGGAAGAUGUAACGGGGCUAAACCAUGCACCGAAGCUGCGGCAGCGACACUAUGUGUUGUUGGGUAGGGGAGCGUUCUGUAAGCCGUUGAAGGUGGCCUGUGAGGGUUGCUGGAGGUAUCAGAAGUGCGAAUGCUGACAUAAGUAACGAUAAUGCGGGUGAAAAACCCGCACGCCGGAAGACCAAGGGUUCCUGUCCAACGUUAAUCGGGGCAGGGUGAGUCGACCCCUAAGGCGAGGCCGAAAGGCGUAGUCGAUGGGAAACAGGUUAAUAUUCCUGUACUCGGUGUUACUGCGAAGGGGGGACGGAGAAGGCUAUGUUGGCCGGGCGACGGUUGUCCCGGUUUAAGCAUGUAGGCGGAUGUUCCAGGUAAAUCCGGAACGUCACUAACGCUGAGGUGUGAUGACGAGGCACUACGGUGCUGAAGUGACAAAUGCCCUGCUUCCAGGAAAAGCCUCUAAGCAUCAGGUAACAUCAAAUCGUACCCCAAACCGACACAGGUGGUCAGGUAGAGAAUACCAAGGCGCUUGAGAGAACUCGGGUGAAGGAACUAGGCAAAAUGGUGCCGUAACUUCGGGAGAAGGCACGCUGAUGGUAAGUGAAGUGACUUGCUCAUGGAGCUGAAAUCAGUCGAAGAUACCAGCUGGCUGCAACUGUUUAUUAAAAACACAGCACUGUGCAAACACGAAAGUGGACGUAUACGGUGUGACGCCUGCCCGGUGCCGGAAGGUUAAUUGAUGGGGUUAUCCUCGCGGAGAAGCUCUUGAUCGAAGCCCCGGUAAACGGCGGCCGUAACUAUAACGGUCCUAAGGUAGCGAAAUUCCUUGUCGGGUAAGUUCCGACCUGCACGAAUGGCGUAAUGAUGGCCAGGCUGUCUCCACCCGAGACUCAGUGAAAUUGAACUCGCUGUGAAGAUGCAGUGUACCCGCGGCAAGACGGAAAGACCCCGUGAACCUUUACUAUAGCUUGACACUGAACACUGGUCCUUGAUGUGUAGGAUAGGUGGGAGGCUUUGAAGUGUGGACGCCAGUCUGCAUGGAGCCAUCCUUGAAAUACCACCCUUUAAUGGCUGGUGUUCUAACGUGGGCCCGUAAUCCGGGUUGCGGACAGUGUCUGGUGGGUAGUUUGACUGGGGCGGUCUCCUCCUAAAGAGUAACGGAGGAGCACGAAGGUCAGCUAAUCCUGGUCGGACAUCAGGAGGUUAGUGCAAUGGCAUAAGCUGGCUUGACUGCGAGCGUGACGGCGCGAGCAGGUGCGAAAGCAGGUCAUAGUGAUCCGGUGGUUCUGAAUGGAAGGGCCAUCGCUCAACGGAUAAAAGGUACUCCGGGGAUAACAGGCUGAUACCGCCCAAGAGUUCAUAUCGACGGCGGUGUUUGGCACCUCGAUGUCGGCUCAUCACAUCCUGGGGCUGAAGUAGGUCCCAAGGGUAUGGCUGUUCGCCAUUUAAAGUGGUACGCGAGCUGGGUUUAGAACGUCGUGAGACAGUUCGGUCCCUAUCUGCCGUGGGCGCUGGAGAAUUGAGGGGGGCUGCUCCUAGUACGAGAGGACCGGAGUGGACGCAUCACUGGUGUUCGGGUUGUCAUGCCAAUGGCAUUGCCCGGUAGCUAAAUGCGGAAGAGAUAAGUGCUGAAAGCAUCUAAGCACGAAACUUGCCCCGAGAUGAGUUCUCCCUGACUCCUUGAGAGUCCUGAAGGAACGUUGAAGACGACGACGUUGAUAGGCCGGGUGUGUAAGCGCAGCGAUGCGUUGAGCUAACCGGUACUAAUGAACCGUGAGGCUUAACCUUACAACGCCGAAG